rnacentral:tRNA from 1 species
UCCCUGAUGGUCCAGUGGCUAAGAUUCUGUGCUCCCAAUGCAGAGGGCCUGGGUUCGACUUCUGGUCAGGGAA